rnacentral:rRNA from 1 species
CUGUGGGAUCAGUGGCGAACGGGUGAGUAACACGUGAGCAACCUGCCCCUGACUCUGGGAUAAGCGCUGGAAACGGCGUCUAAUACUGGAUAUGUGACGUGACCGCAUGGUCUGCGUCUGGAAAGAAUUUCGGUUGGGGAUGGGCUCGCGGCCUAUCAGCUUGUUGGUGAGGUAAUGGCUCACCAAGGCGUCGACGGGUAGCCGGCCUGAGAGGGUGACCGGCCACACUGGGACUGAGACACGGCCCAGACUCCUACGGGAGGCAGCAGUGGGGAAUAUUGCACAAUGGGCGCAAGCCUGAUGCAGCAACGCCGCGUGAGGGACGACGGCCUUCGGGUUGUAAACCUCUUUUAGCAGGGAAGAAGCGAAAGUGACGGUACCUGCAGAAAAAGCGCCGGCUAACUACGUGCCAGCAGCCGCGGUAAUACGUAGGGCGCAAGCGUUAUCCGGAAUUAUUGGGCGUAAAGAGCUCGUAGGCGGUUUGUCGCGUCUGCUGUGAAAUCCGGAGGCUCAACCUCCGGCCUGCAGUGGGUACGGGCAGACUAGAGUGCGGUAGGGGAGAUUGGAAUUCCUGGUGUAGCGGUGGAAUGCGCAGAUAUCAGGAGGAACACCGAUGGCGAAGGCAGAUCUCUGGGCCGUAACUGACGCUGAGGAGCGAAAGGGUGGGGAGCAAACAGGCUUAGAUACCCUGGUAGUCCACCCCGUAAACGUUGGGAACUAGUUGUGGGGUCCAUUCCACGGAUUCCGUGAC